GACGAACGCUGGCGGCGUGCUUAACACAUGCAAGUCGAACGGAAAGGCCCUGCUUUUGUGGGGUGCUCGAGUGGCGAACGGGUGAGUAACACGUGAGUAACCUGCCCUUGACUUUGGGAUAACUUCAGGAAACUGGGGCUAAUACCGGAUAGGAGCUCCUGCUGCAUGGUGGGGGUUGGAAAGUUUCGGCGGUUGGGGAUGGACUCGCGGCUUAUCAGCUUGUUGGUGGGGUAGUGGCUUACCAAGGCUUUGACGGGUAGCCGGCCUGAGAGGGUGACCGGCCACAUUGCGACUGAGCUACGGCCCAGACUCCUACGGGAGGCAGCAGUGGGGAAGAUUGCACAAUGGGCGGAAGCCUGAUGCAGCAACGCCGCGUUCGGGAUGACGGCCUUCGGGUUGUAAACCGCUUUCGCCUGUGACGAAGCGUGAGUGACGGUAAUGGGUAAAGAAGCACCGGCUAACUACGUG
rnacentral:rRNA from 1 species